UGUCAGCGCACUAAGCACUUAAAUGUAGUGUUGGAAGUAUAGAAGUGGGACUGGGACACACCCUGUGUGUUUUAACAUCAGCUCUGUUUUUCAGCUUUGUUUACAUGGGGAAAUGCAGUUUACCGAACAAGCUAGAAGGUAUUUUCCCCACCUGCUCCUUGACACACUAGCAAACUAGACUGAAUGAGAGGGCUGAACUUUACUGGGUUUGGUCUGGGUUCCAUGGACCUGACACAAAUCUUACAGGAAUGUCUACAGCUGGAAAGUAAACUGAGGAUGCUGCACUGAUGAUGCUGCAAGUGCUGCUAGCUUUAAGUUGAGAUAGAGAUUAAUGCAAAACUUUGCACAAACAUAAAGUAAUAUGAGGGUCAAGAAGAGAAGAGAAGUAAUCUGGGGCGUUAACAGCUGUUUAACUGUUACACUACUGACUACUGCCAUUUUUUCUAAUGUCAGUGUAAGAAAGUAAAUAUAACCUUAGGUGCUGCUUAUCUGUUUAUUUUGUACCUCUUAACCCUUGAUACUUAAUUCCUGUCACUUGCAUGUGAUUUAGUAAAAUUAUGAAGUGUAUAUUGCUUUAAUUGUGGCUUAGUGUUGUGUACUGAUCUCGUGUGUCAGCAGACUAUGUUAAUGCCAGUAGUUUGGUGCCUUUCCUUGUUGCUGUUGUAAAUAUAAGAACAUUGAUGAUUAGAUGAUUUACUUUAGAUGGCUGUGCUGGGAUGCAGACUUUCUUUUCAUAAAAGUAAAAUUUAAGCUAAGCUGAAUAGACUCAGCCAAGUUUAAGUAAUCCUACAAAGUUUUCACUCUUAAGGCCAAUUUCCAUCGGGUCCGUGUGCGCCACGUUACGGCUGCACCACGGUUUCAUUCAGACCGCCGCGACACGUCAGCUCACAUCGGGAACGUGUCAUACGCAACGCAAGUGCAGUCCAUGUAGCUGGAUCUGCAAGAUCACGCGUAAUUUCUCAAGGUUCAUGUGCUGUGCAAUGCAAGUCCACUGAACUUUUAACACAUCCUUGAACCUAACUGAAUUGGUAGUAUGCAUUAAAAAGAACGUAUUAAUAUGUUAAUACAUCAGGGUAGGUUUACUCUCUGGAUUAGGGUAGGUUUACUGUCUGGGUUAGGGUAGGUUUACUCUCUGGGUUAGGGUAGGUUACUCUGGGUUAGGGUAGGUUUACUGUCUGGGUUAGGGUAGGUUUACUCUCUGGAUUAGGGUAGGUUUACUAUCUGGAUUAGGGUAGGUUACUCUCUGGGUUAGGGUAGGUUACUCUCUGGAUUAGGGUAGGUUUACUAUCUGGGUUAGGGCAGGUUACUCUGGGUUAGGACAGGUUUACUCUCUGGAUUAGGGCAGGUUUACUAUCUGGGUUAGGGCAGGUUACUCGGGGUUAGGGCAGGUUUACUCUCUGGGUUAGGAUAGGUUUACUAUCUGGGUUAGGGUAGGUUUACUCUCUGGGUUAGUGUAGGUUACUCUGGGUUAGGGCAGGUUUACUGUCUGGGUUAGGAUAGGUUUACUAUCUGGGUUAGGGUAGGUUUACUCUCUGGGUUAGUGUAGGUUACUCUGGGUUAGGGUAGGUUACUCUGGGUUAGGGCAGGUUUACUGUCUGGGUUAGGAUAGGUUUACUGUCUGGGUUAGGAUAGGUUUACUAUCUGGGUUAGGGUAGGUUUACUCUCUGGGUUAGUGUAGGUUACUCUGGGUUAGGGUAGGUUACUCUGGGUUAGGGCAGGUUUACUGUCUGGGUUAGGAUAGGUUUACUGUCUGGGUUAGGAUAGGUUUACUCUCUGGGUUAGUGUAGGUUACUCUGGGUUAGGGCAGGUUUACUAUCUGGGUUAGGGUAGGUUUACUCUCUGGGUUAGGGUAGGUUACUCUGGGUUAGGGCAGGUUUACUGUCUGGGUUAGGAUAGGUUUACUCUCUGGGUUAGGGUAGGUUUACUCUUUGGGUUAGUGUAGGUUACUCUGGGUUAGUGUAGGUUACUCUGGGUUAGGGUAGGUUUACUCUUGUGAACUUGUGAAACACUCCUUUUUUACAUGUGUUUUUUUAAAUCAGCUUUUUCAAGUGAACAGGUAUCCGUAAAACAUAAUGUCUGAACUAUGUGUGAACAACCACUGUUAUAAGUUAAAACAAAUAUUACGUUGUGUUUCCAGAAUGAGUGUGCUAAUAGAGGAAGAUGCUGUGGUGGUCAAACAACUGGAUGCAGGUAUCAAGUGCAGCUGGAACUGAUCUUGGCUUAAAUUAGAAAGUCACAAAAAGGACAAGAGCUGUCAUUUCAUCUUUCAGAUGUGUUAGACAUUUCCUUAUACAUUCGUACUAGCCUAUAGCUCUUUUUUUCUUUUCAAAGUGCACCAGAUUGAUGCUUUUAAAUAUAAAAUGUCCUAAAUUUUCUUCUGGGUUGCAUGCCCCAAUUUCCCCCCUAGAGUGGUUGUAUUCUUCUCACCUCUUUCAGCCCCAACCCGUUUUCAUGUCUUUUUCCAGUCCGGCCUUAUCUGAACUCAACGCGUAUGUAUGGAGAUGCUUCUGACAUGCGCCGCGCCCGCUGUGAGCCAAACCACAAUGGCCUACAACAGCUGCGGUUAAUUUCGAAGGCAGCGGUGCACACAGACCCAGUUUUGGCCUUUAGCUGUCUCUAACUUUUAACUACAUUAGCUCUCACUGUGACUCAACAAAUCACUUUAAAGUAGCACUGUGUAGCACAAUGACCUUAACAAUACGUGUUUCUGACUCAUUGUGUUGCCACUCUAACAAUUACUAAUAAAUAUAAAAUAAUAUUAUAUUCUUGUGAUCACCGUUGCCCAGCACCAUCCCAAGGCUAAGAAACUGUACUUGACAACUUUUUGUUUUUCUUUUACGGGAAGCUGUAUAACUUUACAGCAGCAUUUAGCUUCACGGCACACGCCAGCAACUGGGUAUCAACACGCUGGCUGUUUUGGAUGGCGGCUCAUUGAGCAAAUAAACACAAGCAGACAUUAUCAGAGGAAGAGAGAAUUAGAAAAAGAGAAAUGGAUGGAGUACGAAAUCACAAUGAAGUCUGACUUUUACUGUCCAGAGAGAAAACUGAGAAGAGACAGGAUGCAAAAUGGAUGCUGAAUUAGUUGUUGUUUCGGGGCGUCAUAAUUAGCUGGGUUUAUAUAACUUAAGUAAAGUUUAUGUAUGCAGCACUUUUCAGAGGUUAAAAGCCACAAAGUCCUUUACAGUUGUCAAAAUUAAGAGCAAAGAAUAAAAGCAAACAAAAUAUAGCAUAAAACAAAAAGACCAAGCCCUUAUCUAAUUAAAAGCUACCCUAUAUUUAGCUGCUUUUAAAAAGUUUGGUAGUGUUUCACAGUCUGGGGGCCACAGGUUUAAAAACCCUUAUAAUGGGUCUGUGAAACCACCAACACUCAGACCUCAGACAACUCCAGGAUUAACUAAACCUGUUAGCCAGGUCAGCUGCACAGGAUGGAUUUCCAUGGCAACGUUUUGUGAAACCAGAUGCGGUUCAGCCAGGGUGAUCCAUUCCCUGGGUUUUCUGAAACGGCCUCCUGGUAUUUGUCGUCUCCACAUCCGUGUUCUUUCUUCAACACAGAAACAAACUUUUUGUUUUUAACCACCUCAUUUUGGGUUAUUUUGCACUUUGUACUUGACAUUUUGUUCAUAUCCAGAUUUUUUUUUCACGUCUUUAUUACAUGAGAAUUUUUCUUUUGCACCAAAUAAUAUAUGGAGGAUGUACAAUAUGUUAUGUUUUGAACUCUUAAGAUAAUUACUUUUGUGAAAUUUGUUUGAUUUAUAAACGACUUUCCAUCACAAGCAGAUUGAUUUAGUGGUUAUUGUAUCUUUGUGAACCAUUGUAUGUGAUUGUAAUGUCAUUAACCAUCAGUGCCUGAUGUUUUUAUGAUUGUUUUGUAUCCUCUGUCGGGAUGAUGCUUUGCAAGGUAAUCAUGUAUCAUCUGCUGGAAGUUGAUGUGUGAUUUAUACACUUAUUGUUUGACAUUUCAUAUUUAAUACUAAAAUUUGCAGCCGUGGAAAGUAA